UCUCCUGGAAAAGGGUGGUAAUGCCGGAUGCUCCAUCACACCGCAUGGUGUGUUGGGAAAGCCUUUGCGGCAUGGGAUGGGGUCGCGUCCUAUCAGCUUGAUGGCGGGGUAACGGCCCACCAUGGCUUCGACGGGUAGCCGGCCUGAGAGGGCGACCGGCCACAUUGGGACUGAGAUACGGCCCAGACUCCUACGGGAGGCAGCAGUGGGGAAUAUUGCACAAUGGGCGCAAGCCUGAUGCAGCGACGCCGCGUGAGGGAUGGAGGCCUUCGGGUUGUAAACCUCUUUUGUUAGGGAGCAAGGCAUUUUGUGUUGAGUGUACCUUUCGAAUAAGCACCGGCUAACUACGUGCCAGCAGCCGCGGUAAUACGUAGGGUGCAAGCGUUAUCCGGAAUUAUUGGGCGUAAAGGGCUCGUAGGCGGUUCGUCGCGUCCGGUGUGAAAGUCCAUCGCUUAACGGUGGAUCCGCGCCGGGUACGGGCGGGCUUGAGUGCGGUAGGGGAGACUGGAAUUCCCGGUGUAACGGUGGAAUGUGUAGAUAU
rnacentral:rRNA from 1 species